rnacentral:sRNA from 1 species
AAAUCCUGUAUCAGGCGGCUGUGCAGAUUGCAAGCUUGCUUGCAAAAAUGCACAGACAUCUGAUACGACAACAGAAAUCGAGAAGUAGCGCGAUAGCGCGGAUUCGAGAUUUCUGUAGCAUGACGAGAGUGCGAAGCACGAAGUCAUGCGCAGGAUUU